GACGAACCGUGCGAACGUUAUUCGGAAUCACUGGGCUUAAAGGGCGCGUAGGCGGGCUCGCAGGUCAGGGGUGAAAGCCCACGGCUCAACCGUGGAAGUGCCUUUGAUACCGUGAGUCUCGAGGGAGGUAGGGGCGUGCGGAACUUCCGGUGGAGCGGUGAAAUGCGUAGAUAUCGGAAGGAACAUCGGUGGCGAAAGCGGCGCGCUGGACCUCUUCCGACGCUGAGGCGCGAAAGCCAGGGGAGCAAACGGG
rnacentral:rRNA from 1 species